rnacentral:tRNA from 1 species
GUAGAUAUGGCUCAGUGGGAGAGCCUCUCUUUGGCAUGCGGGAGGUCCUAGGUUUAAUCCCUUGCAUCUUCGUCUACA